ACCCGAAUCCAUGACCCGGCCCAUAAAUCGGUUCAACCCAGAACUAUUAGCAAACCCGAGACCCAAUAACUAAAGCCCAUGAACCCAUACCCUCGGCCCAAAGCCCACGAGCCAAACCUAGAACACUCAAGCCCAUUCAGCAAGCCCGAGAUCCAUAAGCCCGAGACCCAUAAGCCCGAGACCCAUAAGCCCAUCAACCCGGAACCCCGACCCGCCGGUGACCCGCCGCCGGCAGUGUCUCCGGCAACUCUCCGGCGACUUUCCGGUGACUUUUCCGGCUAUUUUUCCGGCGACCAAACUCACCGUUUCGCUGGAUUUUCGAGUGAAAAUCCUUAAUAUGAUGAAUUGAGACAGCACAAAAAGGACUGUAAGUAUUUUUAUACUUACUGAGGGUAGUACUGGAUUUCAAUAAUGUUGUGUUUAUGUUUUAUUUUAAUUGGAUGCGUGUGACUGAUUAUUGCAUACUGUUAAUAAUCAACCUAUUAAUAUUGGGCGCAACGUCUCCCAAAGGUUCAUGAUAGAGUUGAACCGGAAACAAUAAUAAUCAUAUUGAUUGGAACGGCUUUCAAAGUACUAGAGGAGGGAGGUCUCCGAUAGUGCGAAAACAAGUUAAUUAAAAUGUAAUGUAGAGGGAACGGCCUCGAGAAAGACGCUGACCGGGGGAAUGGCCCUUACAAGAGAGGAGUGUAAUCACUAUAUAAACUGUUAAACUUUGCAUGAAAAUUAUCACCACAUCAUUAUGUCAUAUCCGUGCCUUAAAAUAACGCAUAAAUCAUGAUGUUGUUGAAUGACAGUUAGCUCACUUAUGGAACUAUGGGAUUGUGGUUAUAACCACCUUCUCAUAGAUGAUUGUGCAGGCACAGACACUGACGAAUAUCAGGAUUAUCAGGAGCCUUAUGAUGAUCCUGGUUUCAUAGAUGAGACUGUCUAAAGUCCCCUUUUUAUGAUAGACUUGCGGAACAGUUUAUCUUCCAUGUCGUAUUUAAGUUUUAUUUUAUGUACUUUCUAGACAUCUUAUGCUUUAUUUUAUGGUUUGUAAUAUGACUACUAUUACAUAGGACGUGAGCCGUGGUGGCCCUUAUGUUAUUGCUUUUGUGUGUAUUUGUUUGUAAGACCUUUUAUUAUUAUUUUAAUGUAAGUUGAGGUAUUUCAAUUAAA